rnacentral:rRNA from 1 species
AUUGAACGCUGGCGGCAUGCCUUACACAUGCAAGUCGAACGGCGGCAUGGAAGAGCUUGCUCUUCUGAUGGCGAGUGGCGAACGGGUGAGUAAAGCAUCGGAACGUACCGUGUAGUGGGGGAUAACGUAGCGAAAGUUACGCUAAUACCGCAUACGCACUGAGGUGGAAAGCAGGGGAUCGCAAGACCUUGCGCUAUACGAGCGGCCGAUGUCGGAUUAGCUAGUUGGUAGGGUAAAGGCCUACCAAGGCGACGAUCUGUAGCGGGUCUGAGAGGAUGAUCCGCCACACUGGGACUGAGACACGGCCCAGACUCCUACGGGAGGCAGCAGUGGGGAAUUUUGGACAAUGGGGGAAACCCUGAUCCAGCCAUGCCGCGUGAGUGAAGAAGGCCUUCGGGUUGUAAAGCUCUUUCGGCUGGGAAGAAAUCGCACAGGCUAAUACUCUGUGUGGAUGACGGUACCAGCAUAAGAAGCACUGGCUAACUACGUGCCAGCCGCCGCAGUAA